rnacentral:rRNA from 1 species
GUGGCGGACGGGUGCGGAACACGUAUGCAACCUACCCAUAUCUGGGAGAUAGCCCUGGGAAACUAGGAUUAAUACCCCAUAAUAUAGAAUUGUGGCAUCACAAAACUAUUAAAGCCUCGGCGGAUAUGGAUGGGCAUGCGGCCCAUUAGAUUGUUGGCGGGGUAACGGCCCACCAAGUCUACGAUGGGUAACUGGUCUGAGAGGAUGAUCAGUCACACGGGCACUGAGACACGGGCCCGACUCCUACGGGAGGCAGCAGUAGGGAAUAUUGGGCAAUGGACGAAAGUCUGACCCAGCCAUCCCGCGUGCAGGAAGAAGGUCCUCUGGAUUGUAAACUGCUUUUAUUUGGGAAGAAAAAGUGGGAUUUAUCCCACCCUGACGGUACCAAAUGAAUAAGCACCGGCUAACUCCGUGCCAGCAGCCGCGGUAAUACGGAGGGUGCAAGCGUUAUCCGGAUUCACUGGGUUUAAAGGGUGCGUAGGUGGCUCUGAAAGUCAGUGGUGAAAGCCUACAGCUUAACUGUAGAACUGCCACUGAAACUUCAAAGCUUGAGUAUGUUUGAAGUGGCUGGAAUAAAACAUGUAGCGGUGAAAUGCAUAGAUAUGUUUUGGAACACCAAUUGCGAAGGCAGGUCACUAAACCAUAACUGACACUGAGGCACGAAAGCGUGGGGAGCAAA